AGCGAGAGAACUGUUGUUAAGGAACUCGGCAAAAUGACCCCGUAACUUAGGGAUAAGGGGUGCCACCAUCAGGUGGCCGCAGAGAAUAGGCCCAAGCGACUGUUUACCAAAAACAUAGGUUUCUGCUAAGUCGCAAGACGAUGUAUAGGAGCUGACGCCUGCCCGGUGCUGGACGGUUAAGGGGAUCUGUUAGAGCAAUCGAAGCAGUGAACUUAAGCCCCAGUAAACGGCGGCCGUAACUAUAACGGUCCUAAGGUAGCGAAAUUCCUUGUCGGGUAAGUUCCGACCCGCACGAAAGGCGUAACGAUUUUGGCACUGUCUCA
rnacentral:rRNA from 1 species